UUAAUAUUUUCUUUGUCAUGACUACAUAGAGCUACUGGCACAAGUUUAUCUCCUUCCAGACUUCCUUUCAGAACACUCAAAGGUUCGAUUAGUGAUAGUGGACAGUAUUGUUUUUCCUUUUCAUCAUGACCUAGAUGACCUAUCCUUUCAAACUCGAUUACUAAAUGGCCUUGCCCAGCAAAUGAUGAGCCUUGCAAGUAAUCACAGAUUAGCUGUAGUUUGAACCAAUCAGAUGACAACAAAGAUUGACAGAAAUAAGGCCUUGCUAGUUCCUGCAUUGGGAGAAAGCUGGGGACAUGCUGCUACCAUAUGGCUAAUCUUUCAUUGGGACCAAAAGCAAGGGUUGGCAACAUUGUACAAAUCACCAAGCCAGAAGGAAUCUACAAUACUGUUUGAAAUCACACCUCAGGGAUUUAGAGAUGCUGUUGCUACCGUGUGUUCAUUGCAAACAGAAGGUUCAUCAAAUUCCCGGAAAUGGUCAAGAGACUUAGAGGAAGAACAGGAAUCCAAAGACUAGGCUCAAAGUGUAUAUAUGCAUUGAUGCUGUGAGAUGCGACUUAUACAAGUAGUAGACUUGUUACUUUAAAAUAAAAACACACAUAUAUGAAGUGAAUGGGAAAAAUACUUAAUGAAUAUGCUUCUCUGUGGAGUUUUUCUACACGAGUAUUCUACAAUUAUAUCUUGCCCUGUUUUCAUUUUUGGUAACAUUCAGUAGAGAUGCUAUUGAUAGUAUGUUUUGCAGAUGUGGAAACUGCUCUUCUGUGGCCAGUCUGAAUUUAUCAUUCAGACCA